rnacentral:lncRNA from 1 species
ACACGGGACGUGGGGACAUGGGGACAUGGGGACAUGGAACACGGGGCGUGGGGACACAGGGGACACGGUGUGGGGACAUGGGGACAUGGGGACAUGGGACACGCGGUGUGGGGGCAUGGGACAUGUGACGUGGGGACAUGGGGACAUGGGACACAAGGCGUGGGGACACGGUGUGGGGACAUGGGACACGGGACACGGGGCGUGGGGACACGGUGUGGGGACAUGGGACACGGGACACGGGGCGUGGGGACACGGGGGACACGGUGUGGGGACAUGGGACACGGGACACAUGGAAUGGGGACACGGGACACACGGUGUGGGGAUGUGGGACACAGGACGUGGGGACAUGGGACACAAGGUGUGGGGACACGGGGGACAUGGUGUGGGGACAUGGGACACACAGUGUGGGGACGUGGGACAUGUGAUGUGGGGACAUGGGGACAUGGGACACGUGGUGUGGGGACAUGGGGACAUGGGACACGUGGUAUGGGGGCAUGGGACACACGGUGUGGGGACACAGGGGACAUGGUGUGGGGACAUGGGACACACAGUGUGGGGACGUGGGACACGUGACGUGGGGACAUGGGGACAUGGGACACGUGGUGUGGGGACACAGGGGACAUGGUGUGGGGACAUGGGACACAUGGUGUGGGGACAUGGGACAUGGGACAUGGGACACGUGGCAUGGGGACACAGGGACAUGGGACAGGCAACACGCGGUGUGGGGACACGGGACGUGGUGGGGACAUGGGGACACAAGGACAUGGAGACACAGGGACACGUGGUGUGGGGACAUGGAAAACAUGGCGUGGGGACAUGGGACACGUGGUGUGAGGACAUGGGACACACGGUGUGGGGACACGGGACACGGGGAGUGGGGACAUGGGACAUGAGACAUGGGACACGUGGUGUGGGGACAUGUGACACAGGACAUGGGAGAGGCAACAUGCGGUGUGGGGACACGGGAUGUGGUGUGGGGAGGUGGGGACAUGGGGACACGUGGUGUGGGGACACAAGGACACGGGGGGACACAGGGUGACACGGGGUGACACACACGGGGGGACACAGGGUGACCCACCUCCGCGCUGCCCUCCUCCCCACCUGGCCAGGGACCCCACGGGAGACACACGGGAUGUCACCCACCCCCCAUGAUGUCACACCCCCAAUGUCACCCACCCCUCCAUGAUGUCACCCCCC